rnacentral:rRNA from 1 species
UUAAAUUGAAGAGUUUGAUCAUGGCUCAGAUUGAACGCUGGCGGCAGGCCUAACACAUGCAAGUCGAACGGUAACAGGAAGCAGCUUGCUGCUUCGCUGACGAGUGGCGGACGGGUGAGUAAUGUCUGGGAAACUGCCUGAUGGAGGGGGAUAACUACUGGAAACGGUGGCUAAUACCGCAUAACGUCGCAAGACCAAAGAGGGGGACCUUCGGGCCUCUUGCCAUCAGAUGUGCCCAGAUGGGAUUAGCUAGUUGGUGAGGUAACGGCUCACCAAGGCGACGAUCCCUAGCUGGUCUGAGAGGAUGACCAGCCACACUGGAACUGAGACACGG